UAGGGAAUUUUGCGCAAUGGGCGAAAGCCUGACGCAGCGACGCCGCGUGAGGGAAGACGGCCUUCGGGUUGUAAACCUCUGUCCAUGGGGAAGAUGGUGACGGUACCCGUGGAGGAAGCCCCGGCUAACUACGUGCCAGCAGCCGCGGUAAUACGUAGGGGGCGAGCGUUGUCCGGAAUUAUUGGGCGUAAAGGGUGCGUAGGCGGCAUGCAAAGUCACCUGUGAAAAACCUCGGCUUAACCGGGGGCUUGCAGGUGAAACUAGUAUGCUUGAGUGCAGGAGAGGAGAACGGAAUUCCUGGUGUAGCGGUGAAAUGCGUAGAUAUCAGGAGGAACACCAGUGGCGAAGGCGGUUCUCUGGACUGUAACUGACGCUGAGGCACGAAAGCUGGGGGAGCAAACAGG
rnacentral:rRNA from 1 species